AAGUCGUAACAAGGUUUCCGUAGGUGAACCUGCGGAAGGAUCAUUAACACUGAUAAUCCAAAACCUUUGGAUCAACCCAACCUUAGCGAACCUAGCGAAGGGAGUCUGGCCCCUGUUUUUCAUGAAAAACAUGCCAGACGACCGAACCUUUACCUUUGCCCUUUAUUAUGAAACCCAACGAAAUUCUGAUGUAAAGUGUCUGAUUUCAUAUUCUGAGGACGGCUCGAAAGGGCGUUCGCGGAAUCAAAAUCUAACGCAAUAUAACUCUUAACAACGGAUAUCUUGGCUCUC
rnacentral:misc_RNA from 1 species